rnacentral:rRNA from 1 species
CAGCAGCCGCGGGAAUACGUAGGUGGCAAGCGUUGUCCGGAAUUAUUGGGCGUAAAGGGCUCGCAGGCGGUUUCUUAAGUCUGAUGUGAAAGCCCCCGGCUCAACCGGGGAGGGUCAUUGGAAACUGGGAAACUAGAGUGCAGAAGAGGAGAGUGGAAUUCCACGUGUAGCGGUGAAAUGCGUAGAGAUGUGGAGGAACACCAGUGGCGAAGGCGACUCUCAGGUCUGUAACUGACGCUGAGGAGCGAAAGCGUGGGGAGCGAACAGGAUUAGAUACCCCUGUAGUCCCUGUCUCUUAUAA